rnacentral:rRNA from 1 species
UAAAACGUAGGAGGCGAGCGUUAUCCGGAAUCACUGGGCGUAAAGGGCGUCUAGGCGGCACGAUAAGCGAGGUGUGAAAGCUCCUGGCUCAACCAGGAGAGUGCGCUUCGGACUGUCGAGCUUGGAGGGCAGGUGAAGGGGGUGGAAUUCCCGGUGGAGUGGUGGAAUGCGUAGAGAUCGGGAGGAACACCAGUGGCGAAAGCGGCCCCCUGGCCUGUUGCUGACGCUGAAGCGCGAAAGCGUGGGGAGCAAACGGG